rnacentral:rRNA from 1 species
GCGAGUCAUUGUAGCAAUACAAGGCAGACGGCUCAGUAACGCGUAGUCAAUCUACCCUAUGGACGGGAAUAACCUCGGGAAACUGAGAAUAAUGCCCGACAGAACAUUAUACCUGGAACGGUUUAUGUUUCAAAUGAUUUAUCGCCGUAGGAUGGGACUGCGGCCUAUCAGUUUGUUGGUGAGGUAAUGGCCCACCAAGACUAUUACAGGUACGGGCUCUGAGAGGAGUAGCCCGGAGAUGGGUACUGAGACACGGACCCAGGCCCUAUGGGGCGCAGCAGGCGAGAAAACUUUGCAAUGUGCGAAAGCACGACAAGGUUAAUCCGAGUGGUUUCUGCUAAAGAAACCUUUUGCUAGUCCUAGAAACACUAGUGAAUAAGGGGUGGGCAAGUUCUGGUGUCAGCCGCCGCGGUAAAACCAGCACCUCAAGUGGUCAGGAUGAUUAUUGGGCCUAAAGCAUCCGUAGCUCGUUUUGUAAGUUUUCGGUUAAAUCCAUACGCUUAACGUAUGGGCUGCCGGGAAUACUGCAUAACUAGGAAGUGGGAGAGGUAGACGGUACUCGGUAGGAAGGGGUAAAAUCCUUUGAUCUAUUGAUGACCACCUGUGGCGAAGGCGGUCUACUAGAACACGUUCGACGGUGAGGGAUGAAAGCUGGGGGAGCAAACCGGAUUAGAUACCCGGGUAGUCCCAGCUGUAAACUAUGCAAACUCAGUGAUGCAUUGGCUUGUGGCCAAUGCAGUGCUGCAGGGAAGCCGUUAAGUUUGCCGCCUGGGAAGUACGUACGCAAGUAUGAAACUUAAAGGAAUUGGCGGGGGAGCACCACAAGGGGUGAAGCCUGCGGU